rnacentral:tRNA from 1 species
GCCUUCGUGAUGUAAGGGUAACACACUCGGUACGUAUUCGAGAGGUCCGGGUUCGAGUCUCGGCGAGGACA